rnacentral:rRNA from 1 species
GAUGAACGCUAGCGGCAGGCCUAAUACAUGCAAGCCGAACGGCAAGUUUGAUAGCAAUAUUGGACCUAGAGUGGCGCAAGGGUGCGUAACACGUAUGCAACCUGCCCGCGACAGGAGGAUAGCUCCCCGAAAGGGGAAUUAACCCUCCAUAACACCAUGAGAAGGCAUCUGUUUAUGGUUAAACCGCAAGGGGUCGCGGCUGGGCAUGCGGUUGAUUAGCUAGUUGGCGGGGUAAAGGCCCACCAAGGCGGUGAUCAAUAGGGGUUCUGAGAGGAAGGUCCGCCACGCUGGCACUGAGAUACGGGCCAGACUCCUACGGGAGGCAGCAGUAGGGAAUAUUGGACAAUGGUUGCAAGACUGAUCCAGCCAUGCCGCGUACAGGAAGAAGGCCUUCUGGGUCGGAAUCUGCUUUGUCCUGUGGAUAAAAUACCCGUGCGCGGGGAAUUGAAGGUAACAGGGGAAUAAGCCACGGCUAACUACGUG